GUUGCCUCCUCCUCCUGUAUGAAUAGUGUGACUGUGAGCAGGAGGCAGUCAGGGAGCAUUCAGCAGUACUGCCUGCAUUGCCUAGCUGCAUGGUCAUAACACAUCGUUGUCUGGGGCAAGAGGGCAGCAGGCCAUGCAUGAACACACAGACAGACAAGGGGAUAUAAUGGUGCUCAGUUACUCUUAGGAACUGGAGAGAGUUCAGCGUUCCACGUUUUCACUGCCAAACAGUCUCUGAAAACAGAAAGCGCUGAGACUCGUGUUUGCUUGCUCCUAUUCCAAGUUUUUGAUUCAUCUCAACCCAUUUUUCCCCCCAAACAUGGGGUGCUCCUCAUCCAGUGCACAGACCGUUGAUCAAGAAAAAAGACCAGGCACAAAGCCUGAGGAGAGCAAUGGAGACACAGUGGCAGUCAAAAACGGCAUCAUUGCAGAAGAUCCUCAAACCAUCGAGGACCAGAUGCAGCUUCCUGUGCAGACUGCGUUACCCGAUGAUCUUCAGAGGGGUGCUGAUGAUGAAGCUGAGGCUGUGUUAGUGGCCCUGGAGGCCCAAGAGGACCUUGGCUCUGGGGAGGACCUUCUAGCUGCUUCUGAGGUAAAGGAAGAACCUACUGCUACUGAAGAGACAGCGCCAGAGGCUGCUGCUUCUGCUCCUGCUUCUGCUCCUGCUCCUGCUGAGCCUGAGGCUGCUAUAGCAAUUGUUGAGGCACUACCCCUGGCUGAAGAAGCUGCUCCUGUAGAAACUGUAGAGGCAGAAGCCCCUCCUGAGGUUGAAGCUCCUGUUGAGACUGCAAAAGAGGCCCCUGCUGUUGAAUCAUCAGCUGAAGCGGUGCAGGCAGAGGCCUCUGCCAUCACUGAGGAGGUGGUUGCAGUGCCUGACGCUGAACCGGUUAUAUCUGAGCCAACUGUGAACCCAGUUAUUACAGAAGAGGCUUCAGCCGAGGCUGUGGGGGCGCCUGCUGAAGUGGCUGCACCUGCGCAGGCCUCAGCAGACAAUUCUGAACCAGAGGCUGCUUUACCUGCACCAAGCGAAGCUUUAACAAAAACACCAGCUGAGUCUUCAGCACCAGCUGAAAUUUCAGAACCAACUGAAGCUGCACCACCUGCUGAACCCUCGGUGCCUAUUGAAGCUGCAGAGCCGGUAAUAGACACAGAGAUUGCUGCUGCAACUAUCCCAGAGAUGCCAGCGUUACCUUCUGUCAGAGAUGAGACCAAAGCUGAGCCACAGCCUGCUGCCGAGGAGCCGACAGAACCUACUCCAGCUCCUGCUCCAGCAGAGGCACCCGGCACCGCAGAGGAUGCCCCUGCUCCAGCUUUAGGAGUUGAACCUGCUGCUACUGAGCCGGUCCAGAAUGCAGAGGUUCCAGCUCCUGCUCCAGCUGCUUCAGAAACCCCUUCUGGGGUAACCUCAGAAGCUCCACCAGCCUGUGUCACCCAAGAGUCCACUGCAGACAGUGUAGCAGCAGUGGAGGCUCCUGUGGUUGAGCCCACCCCUACAGAAACUGAAGCACCUUCAGCACCAGCCCCAUCUACCGAUCCAGCUCCUGAAGAUUCACCAGGUGGUAUGGACCAUUAAUGGCUCCAGAUUACCUUUUCUUACUUACCUUUUCUUUCUUACUUGUCAAAACAGAUUUUUGGCACAGUUUUGGCACAGUUCAUACUCUGCAAUUUGCCACGGCCACAUGCCCUGCAGAGUAAAACUAAUAAGAGCUGAAGGAUUACAACUGGGUUUUAGAGGAUGAUAGCUGCCACUGAGCCUCUUGAGGGAGUUUAUAAUGACAGGUUUUCUUGUUGAUUUAUUUACUUGACUAAACACAGAGUUGUUUCACUGAUUAACCUGUCACGCUAAAUUUCACGUCAACCCAUCAUCCUGAUGUUGGAGACAGUUUUUGGGUGGAGGUCAGGCGCAGCAGCAUUAUUGCCGGUUGAAAUAGCUGCAGAACUCUAUGCAAACAUGUGAUAGAUGCUGAGCAUGUAGGAACAAGCUCAGAGGGGGAUGAAAAAGCUGAGCAGAAACAAACCUGGUAAUGAGUAACAAAUGGACAAGAGUAUGUUUGCAUCCAAGUAAACAAUUAACGGUCUGUCAGGUGGUCAAACACCAGAUCUAUCUUGUUGCAACACAUUCGGCCAAAGCAAGAGACUUCUGGUAAUUAAACACACAUAUGGUUAAUAACCCCAAACUCUCCAUAUUCUAAUCAACCGUCCACACACUCCUCUGUGUACUAAUGUGACUGCUUGGAGCUGACAGGAUCAGCGGGCUAUUGUUGGGCUGUGAGGCCGAACAGAUAGUGCAGUGUGAGAAACAGAAAGCACACACACUCAGAAAGAGAAAUGAAGGCUCGUCUUGAGAGUGUCAAUUAUUGCACAACAGCUCCAGUCAGGCAACUCUCACUCAUUGUGCUCUGUUAUGCACUGUCUACAGACCGAUCAUGCCCUGCUGCUUUCAAUUAUACGACUAUUAAAACACACUGAAGUUCAUCCUGCAAAUUUGUGAAGAAAAAUCAUUUUAAGGGCUCAUUUUGAAAGAAAAAUUGAGUCAACUUGAUUUUGAAUGCACGGUGAUUUGCUCCACUCUAACAAGCAGGAUUUUAUACCUAUACAUUUCAUUACAAUGUGCAGUGACUGAGUUAAAACUUCAGAAAGUAAGCCUUUACAUCUCUACACUUUCUCUACACUUUACUGGGUAACCUUGCAUAUUAAAUCAUAAUGUGCACCUCCAGUUGUCACCAGUGCUUUGCAAGGCCUUGCACACACGAUCUCUUUUUUGACCUUCACCCGACUCUUUAUGUUCAGAGAACAUGUUGUACUUUCAGGAUAGAAACAAGCCUCCACGCAGCAUGAGACGAAUGGACUUCUGGCAUGGAAGACGUGCUGUACUGCAUAAUUUUUAUGAGAAUUUUUUGCUCGAGGCUAUGUACUAGUUUCUGUGUUUCACGUUUAUAUAUCCUGGUUGGGACUUCAAUCUAACUGCACAUGUAAGAAUGAGAGGGGCUGUAAGGACAAUAAAAGCACAAAAAAGCUGUUUAUUUAAUGGUUAAGAAUUAGUUUUAGGGUAAGACACUAAGGUAUGCAUUAUUUCACUGAAUACCCUCCACAAGGAUAUAGAAGCAAAUGUGUGUGUACAUUGUAGUAACUUGUAAACGAGUUCAGAGGGACUCAUGCUGUUUUGUAUUGGUUAUAAAUUUGGCAGUUAUAAAUCCUCAGAGCCAGUCAGUUUUGACAUUAUCAUAGUUAAUGAAAAUGCCAUGCUAAUGUUUGUGUCUACAUAUAUAUGCAGUGGAGUCUGCAAGCGAGGUGUCUCAGGAUACAGAGGGUGAGAAAGCCAAAAAGGAGGACUGAGUUGAGAGGAAAGAAUGCAACAAAACGCCCAAAGCUACCACUGUAAACCUACUGGAAGGAGGACAAGAUGAAGUAAACAGAAGAAUAAAACAACUGAUUUUCAGUUUUGUCUCAUCAGCACUCACCAAACACCACAUUUCCUAAUAUUCACUGUGCCUUAAAAGCUUUCCUAAGAAUCUUUCCCAUAUUUGUAUAUAAACCUUUUCAGGAGAGGAACGGGAGGAGUAUGUGUUUUUUAAUGGGAAAUCAAGUCUCUGGAUCCACGUACUACACAUGUGGCCUGUGACAAGAGGGUGCAAUCCUCUGUAAAAUCUGUCAACUCUUGCUAGCAACUCUUUUGAGUUUUGAAUGGCAGUGUGCUGAAAUACAGGGAAGGAUACUCGGUUAUUUAAAGAAGCUGCUUCUGAGGAAUACAGCUGUGAAUAAAAAAACUUAAAGAACUCAAAACUGACAAGAAUACAAACCUGGAAUGACACACACUGGCUAGGUGUACACUGUACUUAGGCUGUAUUAAACUGAUUUGUAAUUGGUUGAAUUUCUAGUUUAUAAUUCUGACAUUAAACCAUAUAUUUUUGUUAACUGUUUGCACAUUAAUUGCAGCCUUUCCAAAGGGGCUCAUUUAUUCAAUAGGAAUGACAGUAAUAAGUGUUGAGUAACUCGGCACACAUGGUUUCAAUAUUUCAACAUUUAAUUGGUUCACAUUAAAGUGUUUUGAUUUGCUUAAAUGAAAAGUGGGCAAAGAUCACGUAUGCAGAGGGUUAGCACUUAUAUAUACUUUUAUAAUCAGUCGUUGGCGGGUUAAGGAUACAGACGAGGCCAUGUUGCUGUUCUGUGAAACCCUUCUGUGGUUGCUCCGUAGCUGGUGGGUGUUUGUGAACUUCUCUUUCUUAAAGUAAUGAACCUUCCAACAAAAGGAACUUCGGGGUAACACUGAUGUCAUACGCUUGUCAGUUUUAGAUUGAGGGCAUUACACUGCAUUGCCUAGUGGGCAGAAUAUGUAACUAAUUAGUUCUACAUGCUGAGUUUAAAAGUGUAAGGGCAUUAGAAAAUUACUGCAACCUCAUAAGAUGUGAUGAUGCUUUGGGAACAAAUUUUGUUUUGAUCUUUUUCAUUUUACUUCUCACUCCCUGUAAUAUAUUCAUUUUCUCUGACCGUGUCUAUGAUUCUGCUAACCUGUUAGUGUACAGAAUAAAGUUUUACUCACUAAUACUCUGUCUCUGUAACUGAAUUGUGACUGGAGAUUAUAUUGGCUUUUAGUAUAUGGUGACCACAGUCUCUCCAAGACCCCAGUGCAUACUGUAGUGUGUUUAGAGAAGCAUACGUACUUAAA
ensembl:lncRNA